rnacentral:rRNA from 1 species
UCGGGAAUUUUGGGCAAUGGGCGAAAGCCUGACCCAGCAACGCCGCGUGAAGGAUGAAGUAUUUCGGUAUGUAAACUUCGUAAGAAUAGGAAGAAUAAAUGACGGUACUAUUUGUAAGGUCCGGCUAACUACGUGCCAGCAGCCGCGGUAAUACGUAGGGACCAAGCGUUGUUCGGAUUUACUGGGCGUAAAGGGCGCGUAGGCGGCGUGGUAAGUCAGGGGUGAAAUCCCGGGGCUCAACCUCGGAACUGCCUUUGAUACUGUUAGUCUCGAGUCCGGAAGAGGUGAGUGGAAUUCCUAGUGUAGAGGUGAAAUUCGUAGAUAUUAGGAAGAACACCAGUGGCGAAGGCGGCUCACUGGUCCGGUACUGACGCUGAGGUGCGAAAGCGUGGGGAGCAAACAGGAUUAGAUACCCCCGUAGUCCCUGAGCGGGCUGGCAAGGCGCAU